rnacentral:rRNA from 1 species
GACGAACGCUGGCGGCGUGCCUAAUACAUGCAAGUAGAACGCUGAAGAGAGGAGCUUGCUCUUCUUGGAUGAGUUGCGAACGGGUGAGUAACGCGUAGGCAACCUGCCUUGUAGCGGGGGAUAACUAUUGGAAACGAUAGCUAAUACCGCAUAACCAUGGAUGACACAUGUCAUUUAUUUGAAAGGGGCAAUUGCUCCACUACAUGAUGGACCUGCGUUGUAUUAGCUAGUAGGUGAGGUAACGGCUCACCUAGGCGACGCUACAUAGCCGACCUGAGAGGGUGAUCGGCCACACUGGGACUGAGACACGGCCCAGACUCCUACAGGAGGCAGCAGUAGGGAAUCGUCGGGAAUGGGGGCAACACUGACCGAGCAACGCCGCGUGAGUGAAGAAGGUUUUCGGAUCGUAAAGCUCUGUUGUAAGUCAAGAACGAGUGUGAGAGUGGAAAGUUCACACUGUGACGGUAGCUGACCAGAAAGGGACGGCUAACUACGUG